GAUGAACGCUAGCGGCAGGCUUAAUACAUGCAAGUCGAGGGGCAGCAGCUUUGUAGCAAUACAAGGGCUGGCGACCGGCAAACGGGGUGCGGAACACGUACGCAACCUUCCUUUAACUGGAAGAUAGCCCACCGAAAGGUGGAUUAGUACUCCAUAACAUAUUGAAGAGGCAUCUCUUUGAUAUUAAAGCUCCGGCGGUUAAAGAUGGGCGUGCGUCUGAUUAGGUAGUUGGCGGGGUAACGCCCACCAAGCCUUCGAUCAGUAGCUGAUGUGAGAGCAUGAUCAGCCACACGGGCACUGAGACACGGGGCCCGGCUCCUACGGGAGGCAGCAGUAAGGAAUAUUGGUCAAUGGACGCAAGUCUGAACCAGCCAUGCCGCGUGGAGGAUGAAGGCCCUCUGGGUUGUAAACUUCUUUUCUUUGGGUACGAAACCCCCUGUUUCUACGGGGACUGACGGUACCAGAGGAAUAAGCACCGGCUAACUCCGUGCCAGCAGCCGCGGUAA
rnacentral:rRNA from 1 species